rnacentral:lncRNA from 1 species
CCUUUACAAGGCUUGAUAUAAUCCUACAAACCAUUUGCCAAAAUCCUUAAGCACUCAAAUAAUCCCGAGAGGAGGCAAAUAUAGUUUGAGGACAGCGAUUACGCAUUAGAGCCUUCAUGUUUGUUGUGUUCUUCGUCUUCUCGAUUAUAUUUUCUGAAAUUUUCUUCUCCAUUUUCCUCGGUUGAUGCAAAUAUUUUCAACAUUUCAUCAUUCAGAUUCAAGAGUUACGCAAAUGUCGAAGACAUAUUUUGUGGAAGCCUCCAACCCUUUCUCCUGAUAAAUUAUGUCAUCAUGUUAAAAUGGACAAACUAAAGUAGCAUUCGUCUCUUUUAGCCAGCUUAUUCCACAUGUCCAUUCAUCAAAAAUAAAGUAGCCAGAACCAAAAUCCCUUAUGAGGGAAAAGAAGUGAAUUACAGCCAGCAUGCUUUAAAAUUGAGAUCAUACAUUCAAUGUCCUCAUUUCAAAUUGCUAAAGUUCAGCUAGUAAAAUAACCAAAAAUAAAAAUGGCUCUUUUUAUAAUCUUUUUACUUUAAUAACUCAGAAUUAAACCCAUUCAUAUAAGCAAGAAAAUGCAAAAAAAAAUAAAAUAAUAAUAAUAAUAAUUUGAUGGAUGUGAUGAAUUAAGAUCUGGGCAGGGCAAAUGAUACCUGGGAUUGUGAAGAGGGCCAACUUUGUUGACAAAAAGGGGGACGUGAUCCCCCACAUUGUAAGCGGUGGCAGAUAGAAGUAAGAGGUUCAGGAGCAAAGUGAUAGUUAAAAGCAGAAAAUUGAAGAUACCCAUUUCAGUUUACGAUAUACUCUUUGAGUCUUGAUCUCUAUUGUGCCGGCAACAGUUUUUUCUUCUCUUCUUGGGGAGUGGUGGCCCGGAUGCGAGGGUGGUGUUACUUGUGUAGGGAGUAGAGGAUUGGCUGUGUUUGGUAAAGAAAGGUCAAUGCCAGCAUUGAGUCCUACCCUGCAAAUAGGGCGUCUUUGGUAAGUCGCUUACUUUCUCGAAGGGUAACGUCCACUUACUACAUGUACAGGGUUCU